GGGUUGUGAGGUUAAGCGACUAAGCGUACACGGUGGAUGCCCUGGCAGUCAGAGGCGAUGAAGGACGUGCUAAUCUGCGAUAAGCGCCGGUAAGGUGAUAUGAACCGUUAUAACCGGCGAUUUCCGAAUGGGGAAACCCAGUGUGACUCGUCACACUAUCAUUAACUGAAUCCAUAGGUUAAUGAGGCGAACCGGGGGAACUGAAACAUCUAAGUACCCCGAGGAAAAGAAAUCAACCGAGAUUCCCCCAGUAGCGGCGAGCGAACGGGGAGGAGCCCAGAGCCUGAAUCAGCAUGUGUGUUAGUGGAAGCGUCUGGAAAGGCGCGCGAUACAGGGUGACAGCCCCGUACACAAAAGCGCAUGUGCUGUGAGCUCGAUGAGUAGGGCGGGACACGUGGUAUCCUGUCUGAAUAUGGGGGGACCAUCCUCCAAGGCUAAAUACUCCUGACUGACCGAUAGUGAACCAGUACCGUGAGGGAAAGGCGAAAAGAACCCCGGCGAGGGGAGUGAAAAAGAACCUGAAACCGUGUACGUACAAGCAGUGGGAGCACCCUUUGGGGUGUGACUGCGUACCUUUUGUAUAAUGGGUCAGCGACUUAUAUUCUGUAGCAAGGUUAACCGAAUAGGGGAGCCGGAGGGAAACCGAGUCUUAAUUGGGCGUUAAGUUGCAGGGUAUAGACCCGAAACCCGGUGAUCUAGCCAUGGGCAGGUUGAAGGUUGGGUAACACUAACUGGAGGACCGAACCGACUAAUGUUGAAAAAUUAGCGGAUGACCUGUGGCUGGGGGUGAAAGGCCAAUCAAACCGGGAGAUAGCUGGUUCUCCCCGAAAGCUAUUUAGGUAGCGCCUCGUGAAUUCAUCUCCGGGGGUAGAGCACUGUUUCGGCUAGGGGGCCAUCCCGGCUUACCAACCCGAUGCAAACUGCGAAUACCGGAGAAUGUUAUCACGGGAGACACACGGCGGGUGCUAACGUCCGUCGUGAAGAGGGAAACAACCCAGACCGCCAGCUAAGGUCCCAAAGUCAUGGUUAAGUGGGAAACGAUGUGGGAAGGCCCAGACAGCCAGGAUGUUGGCUUAGAAGCAGCCAUCAUUUAAAGAAAGCGUAAUAGCUCACUGGUCGAGUCGGCCUGCGCGGAAGAUGUAACGGGGCUAAACCAUGCACCGAAGCUGCGGCAGCGACACUAUGUGUUGUUGGGUAGGGGAGCGUUCUGUAAGCCUGUGAAGGUGGCCUGUGAGGGUUGCUGGAGGUAUCAGAAGUGCGAAUGCUGACAUAAGUAACGAUAAAGCGGGUGAAAAGCCCGCUCGCCGGAAGACCAAGGGUUCCUGUCCAACGUUAAUCGGGGCAGGGUGAGUCGACCCCUAAGGCGAGGCCGAAAGGCGUAGUCGAUGGGAAACGGGUUAAUAUUCCCGUACUUGGUGUUACUGCGAAGGGGGGACGGAGAAGGCUAUGUUGGCCGGGCGACGGUUGUCCCGGUUUAAGCGUGUAGGUGUGUGUUCCAGGUAAAUCCGGUUCACUUUAACACUGAGGCGUGAUGACGAGGCACUACGGUGCUGAAGCAACAAAUGCCCUGCUUCCAGGAAAAGCCUCUAAGCAUCAGGUAACAUCAAAUCGUACCCCAAACCGACACAGGUGGUCAGGUAGAGAAUACCAAGGCGCUUGAGAGAACUCGGGUGAAGGAACUAGGCAAAAUGGUGCCGUAACUUCGGGAGAAGGCACGCUGACAUGUAGGUGAAGUGAUUUACUCAUGGAGCUGAAGUCAGUCGAAGAUACCAGCUGGCUGCAACUGUUUAUUAAAAACACAGCACUGUGCAAACACGAAAGUGGACGUAUACGGUGUGACGCCUGCCCGGUGCCGGAAGGUUAAUUGAUGGGGUCAGCGCAAGCGAAGCUCCUGAUCGAAGCCCCGGUAAACGGCGGCCGUAACUAUAACGGUCCUAAGGUAGCGAAAUUCCUUGUCGGGUAAGUUCCGACCUGCACGAAUGGCGUAAUGAUGGCCAGGCUGUCUCCACCCGAGACUCAGUGAAAUUGAACUCGCUGUGAAGAUGCAGUGUACCCGCGGCAAGACGGAAAGACCCCGUGAACCUUUACUAUAGCUUGACACUGAACAUUGAGCCUUGAUGUGUAGGAUAGGUGGGAGGCUUUGAAGUGUGGACGCCAGUCUGCAUGGAGCCGGCCUUGAAAUACCACCCUUUAAUGUUUGAUGUUCUAACGUGGACCCGUGAUCCGGGUUGCGGACAGUGUCUGGUGGGUAGUUUGACUGGGGCGGUCUCCUCCUAAAGAGUAACGGAGGAGCACGAAGGUUGGCUAAUCCUGGUCGGACAUCAGGAGGUUAGUGCAAUGGCAUAAGCCAGCUUGACUGCGAGCGUGACGGCGCGAGCAGGUGCGAAAGCAGGUCAUAGUGAUCCGGUGGUUCUGAAUGGAAGGGCCAUCGCUCAACGGAUAAAAGGUACUCCGGGGAUAACAGGCUGAUACCGCCCAAGAGUUCAUAUCGACGGCGGUGUUUGGCACCUCGAUGUCGGCUCAUCACAUCCUGGGGCUGAAGUAGGUCCCAAGGGUAUGGCUGUUCGCCAUUUAAAGUGGUACGCGAGCUGGGUUUAGAACGUCGUGAGACAGUUCGGUCCCUAUCUGCCGUGGGCGCUGGAGAACUGAGGGGGGCUGCUCCUAGUACGAGAGGACCGGAGUGGACGCAUCACUGGUGUUCGGGUUGUCAUGCCAAUGGCACUGCCCGGUAGCUAAAUGCGGAAGAGAUAAGUGCUGAAAGCAUCUAAGCACGAAACUUGCCCCGAGAUGAGUUCUCCCUGAGACUUUAAGUCUCCUGAAGGAACGUUGAAGACGACGACGUUGAUAGGCCGGGUGUGUAAGCGCAGCGAUGCGUUGAGCUAACCGGUACUAAUGAACCGUGAGGCUUAACCUUACAACGCCGAAG
rnacentral:rRNA from 1 species